AAGAAAGUAAGCAAGGGCGCAUGGCGGAUGCCUUGGCUCUCGGAGGCGAUGAAGGACGUGAUAAGCUGCGAUAAG
rnacentral:rRNA from 1 species